ensembl:snoRNA LOC120099445 small nucleolar RNA SNORA16B/SNORA16A family
GGCAGCCCUUAUUAAAGCUGUAGCUGCUUCCACAUAGCUGGUGUGGUCAAACACAAGUCCCAAGUAACAGUUUUCCUUAACUGUCAUGGUUCCAUUUGCAGUAACACAUCUGUAAGAUUUUGAGAAAAGACAGUU